CCUACGGGGGGCUGCAGUGAGGAAUAUUGGUCAAUGGGCGCAAGCCUGAACCAGCCAAGUCGCGUGAGGGAUGACGGUCCUAUGGAUUGUAAACCUCUUUUGUCGGGGAGCAAGGCCCGCCACGUGUGGCGGGAAGGAGAGUACCCGAAGAAAAAGCAUCGGCUAACUCCGUGCCAGCAGCCGCGGUAAUACGGAGGAUGCGAGCGUUAUCCGGAUUUAUUGGGUUUAAGGGGUGCGUAGGCGGACGGUUAAGUCAGCGGUAAAAUGUCGGUGCUCAACACCGGCCUGCCGUUGAAACUGGUCUUCUUGAGUGAGCGAGAAGUAUGCGGAAUGUGUGGUGUAGCGGUGAAAUGCAUAGAUAUCACGCAGAACUCCGAUUGCGAAGGCAGCAUACCGGCGCUCAACUGACGCUGAGGCACGAAAGCGUGGGGAUCGAACAGGAUUAGAUACCCUUGUAGUC
rnacentral:rRNA from 1 species